AGAGGGUGCGAGCGUUAAUCGGAAUUACUGGGCGUAAAGAGCACGUAGGUGGUUGCUUAAGUCAGAUGUGAAAGCCCUGGGCUCAACCUGGGAAUGCCAUUGAUACUGGGCAGCUAGAGUAUGGUAGAGGGAAGUGGAAUUUCCGGUGUAGCGGUGAAAUGCGUAGAUAUCGGAAGGAACACCAGUGGCGAAGGCGGCUUCCUGGACCAAUACUGACACUGAGGUGCGAAAGCGUGGGGGUAGCAAACAGGAUUAGAUACCCUGGUAGUCCACGCCGUAAACGAUGAGAACUAGCUGUUGGGGCCUACGGGCUUUAGUAGCGCAGCUAACGCGAUAAGUUCUCCGCCUGGGAGUACGGCCGCAAGGCUA
rnacentral:rRNA from 1 species